rnacentral:snRNA from 1 species
GUGCUCGCUUUGGCAGUGCGUAUACUAAAAUUGGAACAAUAGGGAGAAGAUUAGCAUGGCUCCUGCACAAGAAUGGCAUGCAAAUUCAUGAAGCAUUCCGUGUUUUU